rnacentral:rRNA from 1 species
GACGAACGCUGGCGGCGUGCUUAACACAUGCAAGUCGAACGGAAGGGCCCUGCUUUUGUGGGGUGCUCGAGUGGCGAACGGGUGAGUAACACGUGAGUAACCUGCCCUUGACUUUGGGAUAACUUCAGGAAACUGGGGCUAAUCCCGGAUAGGAGCCCCUGUUGCAUGGUGGGGGUUGGAAAGUUUCGGCGGUAGGGGUUGGACUAGCGGCUUACCAGCUUGUUGGUGGGGUAGGGGCUUACCAAGGCUUUGACGGGUAGCCGGCAUGGGAGGGUGACCGGCCACAAUGCGACUGAGAGAGGGCCCAGACUCCUACGGGAGGCAGUGGUGGGGAAUAUUGCACAAUGGGCGGGAGCCUGAUGCAGCAACGUCGCGUGCGGGAUGACGGCCUUCGGGUUGAAAACCGCUUUCGCCUGUGACGAAGCGUGAGUGACGGUAAUGGGUAAAGAAGCACCGGCUAACUACGUG